rnacentral:lncRNA from 1 species
UGGUGCUAAGUUUUUACAGUUGUCUUAGCCCCAAUGGUUCUCAAAGCGGGGUUCCUGGCCCAGCAGCAGCAUCCCGCUAGGAACUUCUUAGAAAUGCAAAGAAAACCAAGAAUAAAAUGAUACCUGACAACCUUGCCAGCUCAGCACAUCUGGAGGCACUAAAUGUCUGACUCAGGAAAUGUGCAUCAAACUGACGGUCAUCCCAGCAAGAGUGAAGUGGCCUCUCCUGUGGUUUUGAUUUGCAUUUCUCUAAUGACUAUGUUGAACAUCUUUUCAUGUCCUUGUUAGCCAUUUGUAUAUCUUCUUUGGAGAAAUGUCUGUUAAAGUAUUCUGCUCAUUUUUUCCCUUCAGUUGUUUGUCUUUUUGUUAUUGAGUUGUCAGAGUUCUUUAUAUAAUCUGGAUAGUAGACAUUUUUUGGAUAUAUGAUUUGAAAAUAUUUUCUGUCAUUCUAUAGGAAGUCUUUUCACUCCCUUGAUGCAUGAAAGUUUUAAUUUGAUAAAGUACAGUUGAUGUACAAAAGUUUUAAUUUGAUAAAGUACAAUUAAUUUUUUAUUUCGUUGCUUCUACUUUUUGUGUCAUAUCUAAGAAACGAUUGCUGAAUACAAGGUUAUGAAUAUUUCCCCCUAAGUUUUUUCUAAGACUUUUAUAGUUUUAGCUUUUAUAUUUAUGUCUCAUAUCCAUUUUGAGGUAAGGGCUCAACUUUAUUUUUUUGCGUAUGGAUACCCCCUUGUCUCAGCAUCAUUUGUGGAAGACACUAUUCUUUCGCCAUUGAAUGCUUUUGGAACACUGGUCAAAAGUUAAACAUGAAUUGGCCAAAGAUAAAUGGGCUGAUUUCUAGAUUCUCAAUUCUAUUCCAUUGAUCUAUAUGUC